rnacentral:rRNA from 1 species
AUUGAACGCUGGCGGCAUGCCUUACACAUGCAAGUCGAACGGUAGAGUAGCAAUACUUGAGAGUGGCGAACGGGUGAGUAAUAUAUCGGAACGUGCCCAGUCGUGGGGGAUAACGUAGAGAAAUUUACGCUAAUACCGCAUACGAUCUAAGGAUGAAAGCGGGGGAUUCGCAAGAACCUCGCGCGAUUGGAGCGGCUGAUAUCAGAUUAGGUUGUUGGUGAGGUAAAAGCUCACCAAGCCGACGAUCUGUAGCUGGUUUGAGAGAACGACCAGCCACACUGGGACUGAGACACGGCCCAGACUCCUACGGGAGGCAGCAGUGGGGAAUUUUGGACAAUGGGCGAAAGCCUGAUCCAGCAAUGCCGCGUGCAGGAAGAAGGCCUUC